CGCAUUUCACCGCUACACAGGGAAAUUCCACCACCCCUCUACCAUAACUCUAGCUCGACAGUUUUUGAAAUGCAAGUUCCCAGGUUGAGCCCGGGGAUUUCACAUCCAACUUAACGAACCACCUACGCGCGCUUUACGCCCAGUAAUUCCGAUUAACGCUUGCACCCUCUGUAUUACCGCGGCUGCUGGCACAGAGUUAGCCGGUGCUUAUUCUGUCGGUAACGUCAAAAUUGCAGAGUAUUAAUCUACAACCCUUCCUCCCAACUUAAAGUGCUUUACAAUCCGAAGACCUUCUUCACACACGCGGCAUGGCUGGAUCAGGCUUUCGCCCAUUGUCCAAUAUUCCCCACUGCUGCCUCCCGUAGGAGUCUGGACCGUGUCUCAGUUCCAGUGUGACUGAUCAUCCUCUCAGACCAGUUACGGAUCGUCGCCUUGGUGAGCCAUUACCUCACCAACUAGCUAAUCCGACCUAGGCUCAUCUGAUAGCGCAAGGCCCGAAGGUCCCCUGCUUUCUCCCGUAGGACGUAUGCGGUAUUAGCGUUCCUUUCGAAACGUUGUCCCCCACUACCAGGCAGAUUCCUAGGCAUUACUCACCCGUCCGCCGCUGAAUUCAGGAGCA
rnacentral:rRNA from 1 species